rnacentral:lncRNA from 1 species
CCGGUCCCGGUGCCUCCGUGACACGUGACCCUAUGACCCAAGAAGCCAUUUUAAGGCUGGCCUCAUAGAGGAAACUACAACUCCCAGAAUGCCUGCGCUUUGCGUCGUGCUGGCACUUUCACUGGCCCAGCCUUAAAGGCGAGCCUGUAGCCGGGCGCCAUCUUUGACGCUGGCAGUCCUGGGUUUCUGCUUGUUCGGCUGCUGUGAGGACGGCGGGCGACCGCAGCUAAGAAAAGAGAAAGACGUGGCAGCACGCGGGAGUCGGAGACAUUGUCAUCGGUUCGGUAAAGUUUCUGUUCUCUGGAUUGGUGAGAUCGUACGAAGAACACCCCUUAGACGCCCAUAAUCGGUGCGGAUCCCCAUGGGGAAGGCUCGUUUUGUUGACAUCUACCAGGCAUUGGUUCUGAACCCAGAGAAGGCGGCUGUGCAGCUAGUGGUAGCCAUGCUUUCGUAGGGUAAACGUGUUGGUAUUGAGGGGAGGGGAGGGAGCCCACGGAAAAGGAAUGGAAGUGGUUUAAAGCUUAUUUUAGUUUGGCUGCUCAUAGAAUGUCAAUUUAUGAGUUAUUUACAGGUUGUAUGUAAUGUUGCUUCAGUCUAAAAAUAUGAACUCUUGAUAGAAACCGUAAAUGAAGAAUAUAGCUUGUUACCUUGUUUUGAAAUUUUAUUUCCAGUUAAUUUUUCUUCAGCCACCUAUAUUUUUCAAAAUAUCAGAACAGAAAGGGCACAGCUAGAGUUUACUGCUAAUGCCUAGUAUGUGGAAUCUGAUUUAGCUGGCCGGAAUUGACUUUUUAGGUUGUAUUGGCAAGUCAGUCUUAAAUGAUGACUGUUGAGUGGUGCACUAAGCUUAAGUGAAAUUUCCUGAAAAUAUUCCCGAAGUUAAGGGAAAGCCAGUGUUGUUGUCGUGUGGAUUCACUAAAAGUACAUAUUUUAAGAACUGAAGGCAUUUCCAGCAGAUGAAGUUCUUGAUUCGGCAGCAAGAACGUGAACCUGCGAUUUGGAAGACUUAACCUUUAGUUGCUCCAGAUCCCAUGACGGUGGGAAAAUGGGCCUCGGUUCUCUUUUCUAUAACAUAAGGACACUGGACGAUUUGAAUUUGAAAGUUACAAGAACUCCUAAAGCC